AGCAUCCGACCCACCCGACCCGACCGGUCCUUAUUUUCCCGUUACGUUGUCCCUCGUAACCUGAGACAGGGAGAUGCAGCCGUUGCAUCUGAGACCCAUCAACGUCUCUCUUGCGGCCAUGACCACGAAGAAGAGAAAAAGAUCCCCGAAACUGAUCCCACCCACUCCCUCAACGCCCCCGACUCCCCAAACCCAGGCCCGUCAUUCUCUCAACACCGCAAAAGCCCGGGCCUGGGCCCCUCUCAACUUGACCCAGGCCGAACUCUCUCUGCCACUCACCUUUCCCACGGGCCAAACCUUCCGCUGGAAAAACACCGCCCCUCUAGAAUACACAGGCGUCGUUGGGCCCCACCUCGUAACCCUCAAACACCUCCAAAACGGCGACGUUUGCUACUGUCUCCACUCCCACUCUCACCCCGAAAAAGCCGAAACCGCCUUGCUAGAUUUCCUUAACGCCGCCGUUUCUCUCGCCGGCUUAUGGAAAGCGUUUUCCGCUUCCGAUGCGAGGUUCGCGGCGCUAGCGCGCCACUUGAGCGGUGCGAGGGUGCUCCGGCAAGACCCUUUCGAGUGUUUGAUUCAGUUUCUGUGCUCUUCCAAUAACAACAUUGCACGAAUCACGAAGAUGGUUGACCACGUGUCGUCCCUGGGAGUGCACGUGGGAGACGUUGGAGGGUUUCAGUUUCACAUUUUCCCUUCUUUGGAGCAACUUUCCUCCAUCUCAGAGCAACAACUCAGAGACGCGGGUUUCGGUUACAGAGCUAAAUAUAUAAUCGGAACGGUUAAUGCUUUGCGAUCAAAACCUGGUGGAGGCGAAGAGUGGCUUCGUUCUCUGCGUGAGCUGGAUCUUCCAGAUGUUAUAUCUGCUCUUUCUACGUUACCUGGUGUGGGCCCUAAAGUGGCUGCUUGCAUUGCUCUCUUCUCGCUUGAUCAACACCAUGCCGUUCCUGUUGACACUCACGUUUGGCGGAUUGCCACCAAGUAUCUCUUACCUGAGCUUGCAGGUUCGCAGUUGACACCAAAGCUCUGUAAUCGUGUUGCAGAGGCAUUUGUUACCAAGUAUGGUAAAUAUGCCGGGUGGGCACAGACUCUAUUGUUCAUAGCUGAAUUACCUUCACAGAAGGCCAUCAUACCUUCACAUUUGAGGACUAUCAAACAACGGAAUCCUGCAAAGGUAGAAGAUGGCGAAGAAGAAGUUGAGUGAGAUCUGCAUAUGACUCUGAGGACAUAAAUGUACGAGAUUUAGGUGUGACAUGCUGCUGUCAAGAAUUCAUUAGUUUACUGAUGCCAAGCAUCAUCUGUCAAGAGAAUGAAUUCUUGCUGACAAAGGACAAUCAAUGAACUUGUUGAAAAUUCCUCACAACUAAUGACAAAUUCUUUCUCUAAACCCUCCCUUGCUUAUAUUUUGGAGGUGUCUAAAUGUGCAUCUGCAGGGAGAAAUAGAGAUACAGGGCCAUGCUGUCGUAUAUAUUUCCUUUAUCUAUACACCUGGUCUCUCUGCAUCCAUGUUAAGAAGAUAGAUCAUUCCUGUUUGCACAUAAUCUGUAUCUUUUACUGUGAUGUGAUGUAAACUGUGUCCAGAGUGAUUUCAAGUGGGUUCCCAGUUUCUUCUUCUAGCAGAACUAGUAGAUUCCCUGUAGAUUUUAGGAGGGAUCGGGGUAUGUGAUACCUGAAUAAAAAGUGUUAAAUUGUAAGUGAAUAAAUGCCUGACAUGCAGGUAGGAGACUUAUUAUAUCAUUAGGUGUCAAAGCAGAGUAAAAUCAGAAUUUUGAAGUGUGAAUAAAUAGAGAAUUUAUUUACUCUAGAUGACCAUUUAGAAUAACUACAGGGGAAAAAAAAAAAGAAAAACAAGAAAAGAAUGUAUAGUAAAAAGAAUUAUCUUUUAUUUCUCACAAAUAGGGUUACCCAUUUUAAAAAUGGCUACACAAUUGAAGAAGUUAUAAUAUUUUAUUUGUGUUUUUUUUUUUUAUUUAACUGAAGAAAUUAUUGUUUUGGAAAGCUGUCUUAGUUGUGGUCAAUCCGAGCCCGCUUUAGUCGUGGUCUCUUUGAGGGUUACCUUAAUUGCAACCUGAAGAGUGACGGUUUACUUUAUCCUCAAGUAAAUAUAUAGCGAUCAUCCUCAAUUUUAACAUGUUUGUUUGUGGAAUUGAAUUGGGUUACAAAACCAAUUCCCAGGGUUCAUUAAAAUAUUCUGUAUCUUUUACUCUUAUUUUAAAAUAAUUACAUUACUAUGUAUUAUAAUCAUUGGGGGAGGAGCUUCCUUGAAAUUGGCAUCCUUCAUGUUUUGU